UUUUUUUCUUUUUUUUUGUUUUUGAGACGGAGUCUCGUUCUGUCACCCAGGCUAGAGUGCAGUGGUGCAAUCUCGGCUCACUGCAACCUCCGCCUCUCAGGUUCAAGAGAUGCUCCUGCCUCAGUCUCCUGAGUAACUGGGACUACAGGCGCCUGCCACCAUGCCCGGAUAAUUUUUGUGUUUUUAGUAGAGACGGGGUUUCACCAUAUUGGUCAAGCUGGUCUUGAACUCCUGACCUCGUGAUCCACCCACCUCAGCCUCCCAAAGUGCUGGGAUUACAGGCAUGAGCUACCGUGCCCGGCUUACAGUUUGCUUUUCUUUUCUAAUAUGUCUACUAGAAAAUCGAAUAUACCUGUAGCUGGACAGAGUUGGUCCUGAGUGGGGAACACAGGCUCUGGGUGGGUCCAUCUCCCUGGCCUCAUGGACUCACUGCCCUUUGGGGUGGGAAGCAGCAGGAAGCAGGCCAGAGCAGGCCUCCCUCUGAAACACCCAGUUACCGCCGAGGAGCAGGGCGGGCCAGGAGCCCUGAAUGGGUCUGGGCAACCCUCAGGGGUGCAAAGGAGAGUUGGCUCGAGGUAGAGUGGUCUGGGGCCUCUCCCAGUUUGCAUUCCAGGUGAAGACCCCUGGCUGCCAGGCCCCCGCUGCCCUCAGCGCUGACUGACACCGUCCAGCCCAUUCUUGCUGGAAGUCUGGCUCCCUCGGCCCCAGGACUCUCCGCCCUCGCCUGGGCUCCGUCUAGCAAAAGGCCACAUGCCUGUGGUGAAGACUGCAGCUUCUGCUUCCCCCCACCCCAGAGAGGGAUGGCUUGCUCUCUUUCCUUGCUUCAAAGCCCAGAACACCCUUUCAGACCCCCAACUGGAGCUCCUGCUUUCUGCUCAAGAACAGGGCAGGCUCGUUGACGCAGCCAAGACGAGCACAGCACUACACGGAGAGCGGCUCUGGUGCUAAUGAAAGAGCCCAGCCUCCUGCUCAGGCCAACAGCCCCCCGCCCAGCUCCCUGCUCCUCUGUGAUGGCUCAUUAUUCCGGUAUUCCCAGGAGACAGAUGGAAUUUUCCCCACCAGCGCCUAAUUACAUUCCAACUCGACAUGGUACAGUGACAUGUGUCCAAGCCGCGUACGAUUCCCAGCGCGACUGAGAGCUUAACACUCUGCCAAAGGGUCCAAAUGGGAUGUUUCCGUCUUGAGGUGUGUGUUGAGCUGUUACCUGGGGAGGCCCUGGAGUGAGACCUCCUCUCCUGUCAAGAGCAAGCCCCACCUGGAACUAAUAGAACUGGGCCUAAGGCCACAGCUGCGCAGGCAGAAGAUGCUUCGGAUGGAAACUGAUGGAGGGAGGGGGCGUAGGAAAAGCGUUCCCUGAGGGCCUGUCCCCAAGGGAGGGAGAGGAUUCUGACCCUCAUCAGCCUAACUUUCCUGGACAGGAGUGUUCAGUGGAGCAAUCUCAGCGUGCUCCUAGCCUAGGAGAGUCCCUGAGCUGGGGAAGGGCAGUCUCUGUCUUGGGAGUCCCUGUCUGUGUGGCCCCAAGUUCCAGGGACUGCCCCCACCCACCAACACAGCCAAGGGUCUGAUGUUGGGUGUGGACGUGCCCAGAGGACAGAGAGUCCUCUGCCCUCUGCCUCUC
ensembl:lncRNA